AAAAAUUAAAACUCCUGUAACAAUGUUGUAUUAUUUAUGACAAUGUAUCAUAUAAACUGUUGGCUAUAAGAAAAUAUUUUGUUACAGGUGAAACAGGAAGGUCUCAAUCUUGACAUCUCUGACAUAAAUGUAAAUAUAAUCUCCCUAAGCAAAGAUCAGAGAUUUAGCAAGAUCAGAUUCUUCCAUGUCAUUGCUUAUACAUAUAAUGUAGUGAUGGCUGUUGCUUAAUAUAGGUCAUCCAGAUUGAAAGUCAAAGUUAAAUACUUAAGAAACAUCAAAGAGAACAAAGAGAAGGAUGAUAGAUAAAUAAAUAACUUUAGAUUUUGCUUUUUUAUCUAUUAUCCUGCUCUUUGUGCUCAUUUUUGAUGUUUGUUUAAAAAUGGAGCAACAUAUUUCAAAUGCUAAUAGUAAAUACAUAAGUAAAUUAAAAUGGAUAUUCUACCAUCAAAAACCUCACUGUACCAAUAACAGAAAUGUUGUGGACUGUAAGUGCUAUAGAAGAGAUGUAGAUCAGAUACCAGGAUUUAUACAAAGGCUUUCAACAGAAUGCCCUAAUACAUUAAUAAGAAAGAAGCUUAUUAAAUCAGAUGUUCCACAAAAGAAAAAGCUACUCAAUACUUUGAAUCAGAUACAAACCAAACUGGCGAGAUGAAACUGUAACUCAUUGGUACAGACAGUUUAGUCCACAAGAAAGAACAUUUCACAUAUCAAUUAAAUGUGCUCAACAGUAGCUAGAAUAAUCAUCUCACACUUUAUGAGAGAUAAAAAUAAGAGAAUGGUGGUGAUAGAUACAUUGCUAUAUAACAAUAUACUACAGUUUUAUAUUGAAACACAGUAUCAG
rnacentral:lncRNA from 1 species